CCUACGGGAGGCAGCAGUGAGGAAUAUUGGUCAAUGGACGAGAGUCUGAACCAGCCAAGUAGCGUGAAGGAUGACUGCCCUAUGGGUUGUAAACUUCUUUUAUAAAGGAAUAAAACGAGGCACGUGUGCCUUUUUGCAUGUACUUUAUGAAUAAGGAUCGGCUAACUCCGUGCCAGCAGCCGCGGUAAUACGGAGGAUCCGAGCGUUAUCCGGAUUUAUUUGGUUUAAAGGGAGCGUAGAUGGGUUGUUAAGUCAGUUGUGAAAGUUUGCGGCUCAACCGUAAAAUUGCAAUUGAUACUGGCAGUCUUGAGUACAGUUGAGGUAGGCGGAAUUCGUGGUGUAGCGGUGAAAUGCUUAGAUAUCACGAAGAACCCCGAUUGUGAAGGCAGCUUACUAAACUGUGACUGACAUUGAUGCUCGAAAGUGUGGGUAUCAAACAGGAUUAGAGACCCCUGUAGUC
rnacentral:rRNA from 1 species